rnacentral:lncRNA from 1 species
CCCCUCACCAGGAAGCAGGCAAAGCUUCCAUCCCAUGGAGCACAGCAGAACCCUGCAUUCAGUGCUGACACAGCUGCCAGCCUGGGGCACGGGCACCGUCAGCCACCCGGGGUUGCCUCGGUUGGGCAAAUUCCAAAAGCUGU